rnacentral:rRNA from 1 species
UACGAAGGGGGCUAGCGUUGCUCGGAAUGACUGGGCGUAAAGGGCGCGUAGGCGGAUGGCACAGUCAGAUGUGAAAUUCCCGGGCUUAACCUGGGGGCUGCAUUUGAUACGUGUUGUCUAGAGUGAGGAAGAGGGUCGUGGAAUUCCCAGUGUAGAGGUGAAAUUCGUAGAUAUUGGGAAGAACACCGGUGGCGAAGGCGGCGACCUGGUCCUUGACUGACGCUGAGGCGCGAAAGCCAGGGGAGCAAACGGG